rnacentral:lncRNA from 1 species
UGAAGGAAACAGGAAGUUCCAAUAAAUAGAACAAUACAGUGCAACUGUUUCACUAACUUGUGGACAGAAAUAAAAUUGUGUUUGAAAGAGGGAACAAACAAUACAUUAUGAAGAGUAAUGGAAGGAGUUAAAGCAAAAGAGCCAGUUGAAGUUACUUUUACUUUGGAAACAAACAGUACAUUAUGAACAGUAAUGGAAGGAGUUAAAGCAAUAGAGCCAGUUGAAGUUACUUUUACUUUGUAUCCAUUAGGAAGAGUGACAAGAUAAGGUACAGGUAAAGGUGUGAUAUUGAAGAGUAAUUGUUUAUUAGAUGUCAUGUGGUCAGAAGCUCCAGAAUCUAUUAUCUAGGAGACAGAAGCAAUAUGAGUAAGCAAGCAGAGUUUGGAAUUAGAAACAGGACUCUCAGUAAGCAUAAUACCAGCAAAGUUGGCAGCACACAUAGUAGGGGAGGUCUGAGCGGGAGAAGUCUGAGCAGUGGAGUCACCCAAAUUGGACUGUUGGAACAGAUUCAUCAACUGAUCAUAAUGGUGUCUGCUCAACCCAGGAAUAGCAGAACUAUGUCCAUCCACAUGCUGAACAGGUGAAUAACCCUCAGUAUGAAGUCCAGAAGCAGGAGAAUUGUGGCCAUCAGAAGAAGGAGAGGAUGUGAAGUCAACACCAGUGGUGACAUGAACAGCAGUGGGUCUCUUGCCUUUGUUAACCUGAUGCUUUGAGGAAAACCAUGAAGUUUGUAGCACUUAUCAAUUAAGUGCCCAGACUUCUUGCAAUAUCUACAUAAGAGGGGUCCUCUGGACUGAUCAAAAGUGACUUUCUGGGCAUACUGUCUGGGAGGAGGAG